AGAGUUUGAUCCUGGCUCAGGAUGAACGCUAGCGGCAGGCCUAAUACAUGCAAGUCGAACGGAUGUAGCAAUACAUUAGUGGCGCACGGGUGCGUAACGCGUAUGCAACCUACCUUUCAGUGGGGGAUAGCCCGGGGAAACCCGGAUUAAUACCGCAUAAGAUAGUUGACUGGCAUCAGUUAAUUAUGAAACAUUUAUGGCUGAAAGAUGGGCAUGCGUUAGAUUAGCUAGUUGGUGAGGUAGAAGCUCACCAAGGCGAUGAUCUAUAGGGGUUCUGAGAGGAAGAUCCCCCACACUGGUACUGAGACAGGGACCAGACUCCUACGGGAGGCAGCAGUAGGGAAUAUUGGGCAAUGGAGGCAACUCUGACCCAGCCAUGCCGCGUGCAGGAAGAAGGCCUUCUGGGUUGUAAACUGCUUUUGGAAGUGAACAAAAAGACACUGCGGUGUAAAUUGAGUGUAGCUUCAGAAUAAGCACCGGCUAACUCCGUGCCAGCAGCCGCGGUAAUACGGAGGGUGCAAGCGUUGUCCGGAUUUAUUGGGUUUAAAGGGUGCGUAGGCGGCUACUUAAGUCAGGGGUGAAAGACGAUUGCUUAACAAUCGCAGUGCCUUUGAUACUGAGUAGCUUGAGUACAGAUGAGGCAGGCGGAAUGGGUGGUGUAGCGGUGAAAUGCAUAGAUACCAUCCAGAACACCGAUUGCGAAGGCAGCCUGCUAAACUGUAACUGACGCUGAGGCACGAAAGCGUGGGGAUCGAACAGGAUUAGAUACCCUAGUAGUCC
rnacentral:rRNA from 1 species